CCAAAGCUAGGAAGACAGAAGCUAGCUGUCCUCCGGCUACACCAUGGUGCUACCCUACAGAGUGCUGCUGAGGCUACUGUAGACCUUCCUUGCAGAACAGUGCGUUUUAAUCAACUAUUUGGUGACAUGAAUAUAUUUAGUAUAGUUUUAUCUAAAAAGGAUAAUUAAAAAAAAAUGUUUCACUAUUUUUAUUUUUAGGAAAUUCACUCAGGAGGAUGGUCCUCCCCUUCCUCCUCUGAGGAGCCUCCACUGCGAUACACAUAGGAAACGGUUGACCGUGACAAACCCAGGAGUGUUGCAGUUCUUGACACAAACCGGUGUGCCUGGCACCUACUACCAUACCCCGUUCAAAGGCACUUACAUUUUGUGUCUUGCCCAUUCAGCAUCUGAAUGGCACAUGUACACAACCCAUGGUGGAUUUAACAAGUGACAUCAAUAAGGGGUCAUAGCUUUCACCUGGAUUAACCUGGUCAGUCUAUAUCAUGGAAAGAGCACGUGUUCUUAAUGUUUUGUAAGCUCAGUGUACAGUAAUACAAAAGUGACAGUAGCUAUACAUAUUUAUAUACAGUAUUUGUUCAAUUGUAGCUCAAUCAUAGGUCAUAAAGCAUGACAAUAUACACUUGUGAAAUCUAUUAUCAAAUAUCACAUGAAAACAUCUUCUUUCUUGCUUCUUUUGUCCUUUUGGUUUUUCUUUUUAUCAGAAUAGAAUAGUUAAGACAAAAUAGUAGAGACAUUGUCCAUUGACAGGGAUUCCUGUCUGUACGAUAUCUCUAGUUUCUGUAGAAUCCUUUUGGUGUGGGGCUGUAACAGAGGAAAACAGAAUGGUUAGCACUGUAUAUAACCAUUCUCACACAGUAUUUCUCAAAUAUGGGAGGUGCAACAGAUAGCCCAAGUCAACAAAAAUGUAGUGGGCAAGAGAGGCAAAAAACGUUUAGGCUUCUACCUUGAACAUGCAUCACCUUGAACAACUCUGCACAUUCAAGGCCAAUACACAGACUUUUGUGUGUGUGUGUGUGUGUGUGUGUGUGUGUGUGUGUGUGUGUGUGUGUGUGUGUGUGUGUGUGUGUGUGUGUGUGUGUGUGUGUGUGUGUGUGUGUGUGUGUGUGUGUGUGUGUGUGUGUGUGUGUGUGUGUGUGUGUGUUCUUCUCAUCGUAACCACAUGUUUGUUUAUAGGAAGCCCUGGAAAAAGAGGCAAAUAGGAUUGGUGGGUUUAAUAACUACUUCUGGAUCGGCCUAUCAGACAGAGAGCUGGAGGGGGACUGGAGAUGGGUGGACAACACAACGCUCACAAAAACCUUCUGGAAACAGUUCAGUUUGGAGCCUGAUAACAACAUCUCCGGUGGGGUUGAAGGGGAGGACUGUGUGGUCAUGGAGAGUAACACUCAUGUGUGGUCCGACGUGCCCUGUGACUUUACCUACCGCCGCAUCUGUCAAAUGGAUGCCAUCCCCAUUACUUCCCCUUGAAUCAGCGGGUGAAAGACACCGCUGACCAUGAAAUUAACUUAGAGUGGCAGGGAUUCAAUAGAAGGCGCAUUGCAGGGUUGCACUGUUGACAAUGUGCAUUUCUACAACGUGCAUUGGAUUGAAUCCCAGUCGCGGUAUGUAUAAUCAGUCAAAACAAAUGAAGAAGUGACAGUUGGUAUCUACUUGUGUUGGUGUCUACUCACCACUGAAGGUAUUUCAAUAAAGCUGCCAGUCAGUCACCCAUCA